GUGGGGAAUCUUGCGCAAUGGGCGAAAGCCUGACGCAGCCAUGCCGCGUGAAUGAUGAAGGUCUUAGGAUUGUAAAAUUCUUUCACCGGGGACGAUAAUGACGGUACCCGGAGAAGAAGCUCCGGCUAACUUCGUGCCAGCAGCCGCGGUAAUACGAAGGGGGCUAGCGUUGCUCGGAAUUACUGGGCGUAAAGGGCGCGUAGGCGGACAGCUUAGUCAGAGGUGAAAGCCCAGGGCUCAACCGUGGAAUUGCCUUUGAUACUGGCUGUCUUGAGUUUGGGAGAGGUGAGUGGAACUCCGAGUGUAGAGGUGAAAUUCGUAGAUAUUCGGAAGAACACCAGUGGCGAAGGCGACUCACUGGCCCAAUACUGACGCUGAGGCGCGAAAGCGUGGGGAGCAAACAGGAUUAGAUACCCGAGUAGUCC
rnacentral:rRNA from 1 species